rnacentral:rRNA from 1 species
CGGCUCAGUAACACGUGGAUAACCUACCCUCAGAUCUGGGAUAACUCCGGGAAACUGGAAAUAAUACCGGAUAAUCCGUGAACGCUGGAAUGCCUUACGGUUGAAAGCUUUAGCGUCUGAGGAUGGGUCUGCGGCCGAUUAGGUAGUUGCUGGGGUAACGUCCCAACAAGCCGAUAAUCGGUACGGGUUGUGAGAGCAAGAGCCCGGAGAUGGAUUCUGAGACACGAAUCCAGGUCCUACGGGGCGCAGCAGGCGCGAAAACUUUACACUGCGCGAAAGCGCGAUAAGGGGACCUCGAGUGCGUGCGCAAAGCGUACGCUUUUCAGAUGCCUAAAAAGCAUCUGGAAUAAGGGCCGGGCAAGACCGGUGCCAGCCGCCGCGGUAACACCGGCGGCUCAAGUGGUGGCCGCUAUUAUUGGGCUUAAAGGGUCCGUAGCCGGACCAGUUAGUCCCUUGGGAAAUCUUACGGCUUAACCGUAAGGCUGCCAAUGGAUACUGCUGGUCUUGGGACCGGGAGAGGCAAGAGGUACCUCAGGGGUAGGAGUGAAAUCCUGUAAUCCUUGAGGGACCGCCAGUGGCGAAGGCGUCUUGCUAGAACGGGUCCGACGGUGAGGGACGAAAGCUAGGGGCACGAACCGGAUUAGAUACCCGGGUAGUCCUAGCCGUAAACGAUGCGAGCUAGGUGUCACGUGGAU